GCUUGGGUGGCUCAGUUGGUUGAGCAUCUGACUUCAGCUCAGGUCAUGAUCUCAUGGUCUGUGAGUUCGAGCCCCAUGUCGGGCU
rnacentral:tRNA from 1 species